rnacentral:rRNA from 1 species
UACAGAGGUCUCAAGCGUUGUUCGGAUUCAUUGGGCGUAAAGGGUGUGUAGGUGGCGCGCUAAGUCGGGUGUGAAAUUUCGGAGCUUAACUCCGAAACUGCAUUCGAUACUGGCGUGCUUGAGGACUGGAGAGGAGACUGGAAUUCAUGGUGUAGCAGUGAAAAUGCGUAGAGAUCAUGAGGAAGACCAGUGGCGAAGGCGGGGUCUCUGGACAGUUCCUGACACUGAGACACGAAGGCCCAGGGGGAGCAAAACGGGG